rnacentral:lncRNA from 1 species
AAAUACAGGAACAAAAUCAGCAAGAAUGAGGCAAUGCAUGUUUUGAAGGAGAAGGAAGAGCAAUGCGAUCCUCAGUGAACUCAGAGCAUGUAUAGUCAAAGGACUUGAGUAGUGAUUCCUCCCCAGAGGGGUGAGACGUCGUCACAACACUAUAAAGUAAUAACUGCCAUCACAUAACAUACAACAUGCAACCACUCUGGCAUGGGACAGCUGGGAAAUGCUCCACAGGGAAAAUGAUUUGAAGUUGGAGAUGAAGAAAGAGUCCAAUUCUUGCCACAUGGGAAAGUGAAAAAGGAGAAAAGAGCAUUCAAAGGCUCAGGGGAGAAAGCGUGCAGGCUUGUAUUUCUCUGGAGUUCACAGGACAAUGCUGAAAAUGUUGUGCUCUAAGAUCUGUGCUGAAAUAGUUCUCUACCUUUCAUCAAUAUGCAAAUUCAGAAUUCAGCCAGGAUCCUUAAAGAGCUGAUUGAUGGCUGCGUCAGCUCUGUGACAUCACCCUGACAGAUGUGGUCGUUUGCUGUCACCUUGUGACACACAUUCUCCUCUCUGUGUUGACAUAUCAUCGCCCACAUGACAGCCAGCCAUAAAGGUAAGGCAUUAUUUUGCCCUAAAACAAAUAUCAGGCUGGCGGUCUUAUGCUGAGAUUUAUCACCGUCUACAAAAUACUCAUAAAGUGACUGCCAAUUGAGGUGCAAUAAUUACAACUCCUCAGAAAUAUGCUAUUUUGAGAUUAAGGGCAGAGCACAAACAAGGUCUACCUUGAUGGAAGAAGGCAAGAACUUGCUGGAUGAUCUUUGUUCUUUCCUUUAGAGGAAUUAUUUUUAAAAAAAAAUACCAUAAAUUUAUUUACAGCAUUUUCUGUAAGGGUCAAGAGAUUUUCAGGCAAAAGCGCUAUUUCAGCAAACUGAACAUAAACCAGCCUUUCAUUUUCAGAAAGCCACCCCUGCAUGAUCUGAACAUUGUAAAGAACAUAUAUACAUCAGAACCACAGGCACAACAUAGAGAUACAGAACAUUUGGUAUUUCUACUUGAUCUGUGGAAAAGGGAUUCUUCCCACUGGUGUCAGCAACCAAAUCUGGAGGCCUCAGUAUGAGUAGUUGUUUUAGGAUUGCAAGAAUGCAUCCAUGCAUAUGUAUUUAUUUAUAAUUUGCCUCAUUCUUCAUGGAUUUGACAUAGCUUUCAGCAGGUACAUAUGUAACCAAAUAACAGCAAAACAUUGGUAGAAAUUAAAAAAUCCAGGCAGGGAAAAUAUUUUAAAUGAGAGUAGAAAUUCAAGACUACUAAAAUGAAAGACACAUACAUGUAUGCCAUCACUGAACUUCAAGUUUGACUCUGGGGCCCCAGGCACUCAAAAUGAAAAGAGAGACCCAGUUAGUCCCAUCCUUCUCAUCAGCAAAAAGGGAGAGGCAUACAGUGCCUCAGGAAGGCAAAGUUAUCCUGGCCCUGAAUUUUAAAAGGAAGUUCUCAAACAGAGCAUUCUUCGAACAACACUGAAAUGGGACUCCCCUGAAAACUUCUGUAAUAAAUGCAGUAACGACUCCAUAUGGUUUUCUUUCAUAGUAUCAUCCUUGACUUAAAAAAAAUAGCAUAGUGUAAGACGUAAAAGACCGACUCCAUGAAGGUGAUUCUUUAGGCAACCCACUGAGAUCAUUUUGCUCAGCGAUGGUAUUUGCUAGCUAACUGACAAGAAAUUCAAAAAAUAGUGGAUGGAUGACAUUUCCUCCAGUCAAUCUUCCAGAGUGUAGACCCUCAUCCAUUCAUUCACUCAUUUGUUCCUUCAUUUCUUGAUCUUCUACUAGAUAUUAGGAAUCAAGUUAGGUGCUAUGGAUCCAAAAUCAUACGAAGACAUAAUCCCAAUUCUUAACAACCUCAUCGUUUAGUAAACUUUGAUUUUCUUUUUAGUUUUAAAUUUUUUGUAGAGAUGGGAUUUUGCUAUGUUGCUCAGGCUGGUCUAGAACUCCUGGCCUCAAGUGAUCCUCUCACCUUGGCCUCCCAAAGUGCUGGGAUUACAGGCCCUUUGAUUUUCAAAGAUACUUUUUCCAUCAGGAAUCUUAUCUCCAUAAAUUUUUACUGCAACCCUUCAUGGCAACUUGAAAAGGAUGAUACAAUAUUUACCAUACUUUAAUAAAAGCAUUCAUUAUAUAAU